rnacentral:rRNA from 1 species
GCCUAACACAUGCAAGUCGAACGAGAAAGGGGACUUCGGUCCCUGAGUACAGUGGCGCACGGGUGAGUAACACGUGACUUAUCUACCCUCGAGUGGGGAAUAACUUCGGGAAACCGAGGCUAAUACCGCAUAAUACCCACGGGUCAAAGGAGCAAUUCGCUUGAGGAGGAGGUCGCGGCCGAUUAGUUAGUUGGCGGGGUAAUGGCCCCACCCAAGACGGUGAUCGGUAUCCGGCCUGAGAGGGCGCACGGACACACUGGAACUGAAACACGGUCCAGACUCCUACGGGAGGCAGCAGUGGGGAAUUUUGCGCAAUGGGGGAAACCCUGACGCAGCAACGCCGCGUGGAGGAUGAAGUCUCUUGGGACGUAAACUCCUUUCGAUCGGGACGAUUAUGACGGUACCGGAAGAAGAAGCCCCGGCUAACUUCGUG